UCCGUCUUAUCACCGGCAGUCCCCUUAGAGUGCCCAACUAAAUGAUGGCAACUAAGGGCGAGGGUUGCGCUCGUUGCGGGACUUAACCCAACAUCUCACGACACGAGCUGACGACAGCCAUGCAGCACCUGUCUCCGGUCCAGCCGAACUGAAAAGCUCCAUCUCUGGUGCUCGCGACCGGGAUGUCAAAGGCUGGUAAGGUUUUUCGCGUUGCAUCGAAUUAAUCCACAUAAUCCACCGCUUGUGCGGGUCCCCGUCAAUUCCUUUGAGUUUUAACCUUGCGGCCGUACUUCCCAGGCGGGGUGCUUAAUGCGUUAGCUGCGGCACCGCAGGGGUCAAAGCCCGCGACACCUAGCACCCAUCGUUUACGGCGUGGACUAC
rnacentral:misc_RNA from 1 species